UACUUCUAGGGUCAAAUAGGACAGAGAACUGUAAUUGGUUGGUGGAUUCUCUAUUUAGUGAGUUUAAGUGUGCGUGACCUUUUGUCCUGUCACUUUUCAUGCCAGACAGCUGUAAAUUUCAAAUGUAAAAACAAUUAUGACUGUAAACAGUGAAUUACUAACUUUUUAUUUAAGUCCUAUAAUAUUUCCAACUAUGUUUUGAGAUAACGUUGGCCAAUCCUUUUCUCCCAUCGAGUGGUUGAAUGUUUUUAUACUACAGUAUACUGUAUACUGUACAUAAUACACAGUGUUUCGCUCUGAGACUGUGUCCUGUAAAUUGUGUAAGUGUAUCUUAAAUUAUGUGCAACCAAUAUGUUCUCUAACAACCUUUCUGUGCUUUAGACUCUAGUCAUGCAUUUUUGUGCCAAUGUGCCAUUAUUAUAACAUUAUUGUGAGUAGAAAUUAAAACAUUUGUCAAAUAUGCCAUUUCGAUGCUAUUUGGUAGCAAAACAUGAGAGCCUCAUUUAUCAUUCUGUGUAUUUAUGUUAUUUAUGUUUAUUUUAAUAUUGUAAUAUUACUGUAUUCUUGUAUUUGUAUUAUUUAUAUGUUGUGGUAGAGUAUAAUAAUAUGUUGUUAUGUACUGUUUUAUUUUGUAUGUAAUUGCGUAAUCGUGAUUGGAUCCCAGGAAGAGUAUUUAAUAUGGACCUGGAAUAAAUACAAAUAGAAACGUUAUGUAAUAUAACACGAAAUUCAGAUUGCGCAAUGUUGUAAUUUGUUCAACUCCAAUGUUUCGUUACAGGAAAUUAGUAACCUUCCUACAGUGGUUCCUCCUUUACAAAUUGCGAGUUUACACCGCUGGAUAUAGAGCUAUAAAAAACACACAUUCGUUUUCAGUCUGUAUCAGCAUGGGCAACGUGUACAUUGAACAGCCAAAACAUGACUCCCACCCUAUAUUCAAGAGCAUGCUGAUUUGAGCCCAACCCUGCUGUGAAUCUCUUCCGGGAGGAAAUCACAAGUGUAUCCCAGUCCAACCCCACAGAUUGUGACGUCAGCCUGGCUCAGACUGCGAUGGAGGAUUCUGGCCAACAGGGGUGACCUUGCCACACACCGAGGGAGAACGAAGCGCCGUUACUCAGAGGAGCAAGUUAGGAGGAGUCAGAGAGAAGCUCCAAUCAGAGCUGAGAGGGAGAUACACGUCAUUGUGUGAUGGAACCCCAGCAGGACAAGAGGUGCGGAGCCACUCCCUCACACACUCCUAUGUGGAACUCCUCAUCACCGAGGGCAACGUCCAAUGGCACAACGACAGGCAUGCUGCCACGCGACCCGUAAGACCACCAUCAGAUAUGCCCACUGCUAAUGAGGAAGUAACGAUCAAGCUUGACGAUAUCUUCAAACCACCACUAUCUCCAGAUCGCCCUCAAGUAAAAACCGUCCUGACGAAGGGACCCGCAGGCUCAGGGAAGACAGCGAGUGUCCAGAAGUUUGUUUUGAACUGGGCCGAGGACAGAGCCAAUCAGGAUGUUGACUUCUUGUUUGUCUUUCCCUUCAGUGAACUCAAUUGGCUGAUAGGACGGAGCUUCAGUCUGAGUGGCCUCAUCAGCCACUUCUACUCGUCCAUGACAUCGGAGAGCGAGAACCCCGGGCUGGAUCUGAGUCGGUCUAAGGUGGUCUUCAUCUUGGACGGUUUGGACCAAUUUAAC